UAUCAUCAUCAUCAUCAUCGU
rnacentral:miRNA from 1 species